CAGAGAUAAAAGCCAUCCAUGACAGUGAUGGGAAUGAACUCAUUCUGAAGAAGGGAACUCCUUUUCAGUGUGGAUACUGCAGAUAAGCCUAAGAUAAGCAUCAAAACUUUUGAAUUUUUAUCUGAAACAAGUCUAUGAGCCACCUCAGGUUUACUUAUCAGAUUUACAAGGUAACUGUUGACUAUCACACUGUCCACCUACCUGGGUUAGCAGGUAGUCCCAUAUGGUACUCCUUAUGAGUAGGGGAAGGGAGCUAGAAUUGAAUGAAAAGGAGACUGAGAGCUCUUACUCCCCUGAGUAUUCGCAUUAGCCCAUCCUGAAUUGCUUGUAUCACAAAUGUGGGCAGACUGGCAGGGGUGGGAGGAAAUUUCCCAUGCCGUAAUGUGCGACUGUCAAAAGUAGACUUUUCUGCAUGAAUCAUUUCAAAUCCUAUUUAAUGUUUCCAUACUCUUCCAUUACAUACUACUCAUCAUCAUGUUUUGUAUUAUUCAUUUUUCAAUACAUGAUACACCUUUAAGAUACAGAAAUACAGUCUUAACUCCCACACCCUAUAUGCAUUCCAAGAUCUAUUUUGGCAAGGGCCUUGGCAGAUGCUCCCUGUGGGAAAAAGUCUACCCAUGGAGGGGCGGCAGCACAAGAAAGGGGCUGUAAUUUUUUCCUACAAGAGGUGACAAGGAAGGUGCAGAGCAAUGUGGGCAGGGUUGACUGCAACACAUUGAUUUUCAGCAGUCCCAGUAUAUCUUAAGCAUUGCCUUUCCCAGGUUUAGCUCAGCGGGUACAAUAAUACCUCCACCUACCCUCCCUGUAGGUUAACACUCUGAGGGCACAGCUCAUGGUAGGACCUUUAUAGUAUACCUCCCAGUGCUAGGUGAGGUAAAAAUCAUAAUAAGACUCUUUUUAUUCCAAGGAGAAAUAAAAUUAAUGCUUUUUAAUCUCUGCAGACUUAGAUGCAAUGGAAGAAAAAUAAAAUGUCAAGCAAGAAAGGACAACCACAAGCUUUCUCCCAUUCAGAGAGACUUCUCACUAUUUAAACAUCAAUACAAUACAUAUUCCUUUGUUUCCCAGGAGCAUGAAGUCUGCAUUGACAUUCUACUUCAAGCCACAGCACAGAACAAUCUUGCUUCUUGAUAUAUAAUGUUUACAUGUGUAUUAUCCCAAGUGACACUGACUCUACAGCAUUAUUGCAAGAAAGCUGGAGAAAGAGACUACAAAAACACAACUUUUGUGUUCAUCAGGAUAGGUGGUGUAUAACCUGGCACUACUAGAUUCUUUAAUUUGGAUAUAUGUUUAUAUGACACAGUAAGAAAGAGUGUUAAUUUAACUAUAUUAAAUGCUUAAACCAUUGUCAGAUAAAACAAUCUAUUUAUAAAAAUAAACUAACUGGUGGAACAGGCUGCACACUUUACACUAGGGAUGUGUAACAUAAAUAGAAACUGUAUAAAGAUAACAUUAUUUUAAAAGGGAGAGAAAUGGAACCAAAAUUUGGAAAUAACCAUUAUCUGAAACAGAAAAGGAAAUAUAAUGAAAGAACAGUGUUAUACAAAUUGAAUUUGAUUUUCUCAACAAUGUCACUGGCAAGUGAUAAAUUGACUCCCAUUUAUAAUCUAGACUUCAUAUAGCCAUGCCAAGAGUUUUCUAAAACUAUUACAAGGAUGGUUGUCUGCCAUGUAUUGCAUGAUACAUUAUCUGAGUCAUGCUGGUACGGCAGUUACCAAGAAAACAGCACAAAACUAAUGUGGCCAUCUUAACAUGUACAUGCUCAACAUUUAUAAGUCUGCAUCAUUCAUCUACUAUAAUAUUAUUUUUUAUUUUUUCACAGAUUUAAUAAAAAGGGGGAAAAUCCCAUCACCUGUUUCUGAAAAUACUGGGUGAACAUAUCUAGUAUAUAUACAUAUCCGGAUCAAGCUGGUCAAAUGGACUAAGUUUCUUCACAUUUGGAUGUUACCUGCUUAAAAGAAAGAAUAACAUGCACAGUGGACCACAGACCAUAUUUAGGAUUAUGUUUCUUACAGCAAACAGAAAAUAAGCAAAGCUAAAUAAAUCUUCAAGAAGAUUUUCACCUAAAAAAAUAACAAGUAAUUACAUUCAAUGAGAAAUAAAACUCUAUUAUGUGUUUUGUUAAUAUUUUUUUAUUAAAUUAAUUCAGUCACAGCAUAUUCUGAUUUUAUUAAACUGAAAUGGAAACAGAUAAUCUCAA